AAAAAACUUCCUCAAAUUAAAUAUGGACAGUAUGGAGUUUUCGAAGUGAUGCUUCAAGAUAUAUUUUAUUAAAAGGAAGUGGCGUGUCCUAGACCAAACAUAGUCGAAAGCUGGUCCAACUUUUUUUUAAUCUUUUUUAACUUGUUCGAAUCUGUUGUCACUGAAAUAUCAAGUUUUUUCGAUUUUCUGUUUGAAUUUUCAUUGGCUUUGAUUAUGUUAACAUCAUUAUUUUUACCAUCCUCUAAAGAUAACCAGUAUAUAUCAAGAUCAACGGAUGCUCAGGUCAAUCAAAAACACCGAAUAUUUCUGAUAUUCCAUUCACAAGCACGGAAAAUGAUUCAGACAGAAAGCGGGAAGAAAACAAAUUGAAGAAUUUAGUGGAACGGAAAAUGCAUUAAUAGCAAACAUUUUGGAAUUGGAAGAGAAGAUAAAACAAGAUCAACUGCAAUUUGAACAGAAGGUUAUGAUUGCUUUCAGGAAUCGAUUCUAACAAAAAGGUAACAUUGUUCACAUCGAAACAUCAGGAAAUUUAUGACAGUAAGAAAAAUAAUCAAAAUGAAAAUUUGGAGUAUUUCACUUAAAACAAUUAAUAGGGGGUCCAAUCAAGUCCAAAACUGCACAAAC